AAAGAGUUGAAAGACUCCCUAAAACCACUGUGAAUCUACCUAUGUCGUUGCUUCGGCGGGCGGCCCCAGGGCGGGGUUUAGGCCUUAUAGGUGCUCGCCGACGGCCCUUAUAAACUCUGUCAUUUUUGGUGCUCUGAGUAAGAUCAAAUGAGUCA
rnacentral:misc_RNA from 1 species